rnacentral:lncRNA from 1 species
AUCCUAGUCAGCUAAGCCUCUGCUGUCCUAGUGGUAACAGUUCUUAGGAGAACCCUGGAGCAAUCCAAAAGCAAAAAGCAAGUCUGAAUCUAUUCAGCUGACAGAUGAAGAAAAGAUUAAAAACUGGCUAUUGUGUCACUUUCUUCCCCAAGCAUGUGAAUAAAACUUGGCAGCUUUUUAAAGACAAUUGGUGUACUCUCAUAACAAAAUUUACUACAUGAUUUAUUUUUUUAAGUGCUAAACAGAUGGUUUCACAUUAUUAUUAAAAUUAAUGUUUUAACUCCGUAUAUUUUACAUCUUUCAGAAUCCGAAUCUUGAACUGCCUAUGUUAUUAUCCUACAAGCAUAUUGACAGUGGUUACAGAUAAAAGAGAAAGCAUGAAGAAACAACUUCAAAAAGUUAUCAUCUCAGGAUACUUGAUAUGCAACUAACUAAACCACUAUCUUAUGUCUGAGGUUCAGAAUAAAUGUCCAGUAAAAUACCAAA